CUGGUUUUUUGCGGAGUACAAUUCGAAGUUGCUUGAGUCAACUAAUUACAUUACUAGACGGCAAGCAGUGAAGCUGUUGGGGGAUAUACUGCUGGAUAGGUCAAAUUCAGCUGUGAUGACACGUUAUGUGAGUUCUAGGGAAAAUUUGAGAAUCCUCAUGAAUCUCCUCAGGGAGUCGAGCAAGAGCAUACAGCUAGAAGCAUUUCAUGUUUUUAAGCUUUUUGUUGCAAAUCAAAACAAACCCGCCGACAUUGUUGGCAUUCUCGUUGCAAACCGAAGCAAG
rnacentral:misc_RNA from 1 species